UACAGGGGGGGCAAGCGUUGUUCGGAUUCAUUGGGCGUAAAGGGUGCGUAGGCGGUGUCGUAAGUCGGAUGUGAAAUCCCGGGGCUUAACUUCGGAACUGCAUUCGAUACUGCGAUACUCGAGGACUCGAGAGGAGAUUGGAAUUCACGGUGUAGCAGUGAAAUGCGUAGAUAUCGUGAGGAAGACCAGUGGCGAAGGCGGAUCUCUGGAGAGUUCCUGACGCUGAGGCACGAAGGCCAGGGGAGCAAACGGG
rnacentral:rRNA from 1 species